rnacentral:rRNA from 1 species
CGUUAGUCGUCCUAAUCAGGCGUAAAGGGUGUGUAGGCUGCUUUCAAAAUCAUAUCUUUCAAAUAGCUCUUAUAACGAAGAUCUUUUUAAAGGCGAGAUACUUUAAAUAUCUUCAUUCUAAGGUAAAGAUAGGACGAAUAAAAGCUAGAAUCAAAACGAGGAUAAGCCAAAUAAUACUUAGAGUAGGGUUGAUAUCCGUAGAUACUAAGUGGAAUACUAAAAGUGAAAACUAUUUAUCUAGGAAUGAUUGACGCUGAGAAACGAAGGUGAGAAUAGGAAAUAGGAUUAGAUACCCAGAUACCUCUCACUGUCAACGAUGAAUGGUGGUUUGUUAGUUUAUAGAARAACUAGUAA